AUGGCCGCCGACCUCGAGUGGCCUUUCGGCGAGCUGCACGGCCUUGACGCCGACGAUAUCCGCGAGACGGCAUACGAGAUAUUCUUCAUGUCAUGCCGAUCAUCGCCCAGCUUCGGGGGCCGGAGCGCUCUGAAGUUCCAUCCCUCGAUGUGGUAUGAGCCCGAGCCUGGAUCCACAUCGUCCCAGGCCAAUGGGGUGGGGAUGGCCCCGAGCAGCCGGGUCAAGAGAGCCCUCGGGUUGAAGAUGCUGAAUCGGACGCCCUCGAAAAGAUGGCCUUGGGCGCUGGGAGCCCGCCGAGGCCCCAGUCGUCGGCGGCGGCUAGGCCCCGGCGGCCGCUCACAUCAGCUGAGCUGAUGAGGCAACAAAUGAGGGUGACGGAGCAUAGUGAUAACAGGCUCAGGAAAACGCUCACGAGAACCCAUGUAGGCCAUAUUGGUAAGCGGGCAGAGACGAUAAUCCUUCCGCUCGAGCUUCUUCGCCACCUAAAACCAUCUGAAUACAACGACUCGAAGGAUUAUCAUGCCUGGCAAACGAGACAGCUCAAGAUCCUAGAAGCAGGGUUGCUUCUUCACCCGUCAAUCCCGCUGGAGAAAUUGAACGCGUUCGCAGUCCGCCUUGGAGAAAUUAUCCAAGCCGGCAAGACGAAGAUCAUAGUCAUCGGGGAAAACUCAGACACCAUGCGAAGCCUCAGCAAUUCUGUGGUGUCAUUAUCAUGGCGAAGCACAAACGGGACUCCUACUGACGUUUGCCACUGGGCUGAUGGAUUCCCUCUGAACAUUCACCUGUAUGUGACUCUGUUGAAGUCGAUUUUUGACAUCAGGGAUGAGACUUUAGUCCUCGACGAGGUUGAUGAGCUUCUUGAGCUCAUGAAGAAGACAUGGUCGAUACUUGGAAUCAAUCCGCCAAUACACAAUCUGUGCCUAACGUGGGUGUUUUUCCAACAAUACAUCAGCACGAUGCAGUUGGAACCGGAGCUUCUUUUCGCUUCGCAUAUCUUGUUGGCCGAAGUAGCGAAUGAUGCCAAAAAAGCAGGACCAAGAUCCUCUAUUCAUUAAGGUUCUACUGUUAGCUCUGACCUCGAUACGAGUGGUUGGAGAAGAGAUUGGGUAACUAUCAUUACUACUUCGAGGAUGGGAGGAUGAACCUGAUGGAGGAUUUGCUGCCGUUGGCAGUGAGGGUGGCAAACAUCUUAGGAGAUGAUGUAAUGCUUUCCAGAGUAACAGAACAAGCGCAAGGUAAUGCAGUGACCAGCCCUACCGGAGAUCACGUGGAUGGUUACAUACGAUCAUCUCUGAAGAAAGCAUUCGAAGGAUGUCAAGAACGCGGAAUGGACACAAGACAAGAUGAAAGUGAACGACUCAUUCGAUUGGCGAAAGAGACUGAAGAUUUGGCUUUAAAAGAAAGAGGAACCUUCAGUCCUAUUCUUAGAAAGUUCCAUCCCGUUGCAACUGCAGUCGCCGCCGUCACAUUGCACAGCUGUUAUGGACUAAUUCUGAAACAACAUUUGACUUCUGCUUUGGUACUCGACAGUGAAAUCAGGAAAGUACUGGAGAGUGCAGGGAAGCUAGAAAAAGUUUUGGCACAAAUGGUGGUCGAGGACACCAUAGAAUGCGAAGAUGGAGGCAAAAUGAUCGUGAGGGAAAUGAUUCCAUAUGAGGUUGAGUCGACCAUGUCAAGGCUUCAAAAACAAUGGAUAGACGUGAGGCUCAGAAAGGCAAAGAUUGUCUGCAGAGAGCAACAGAAUCAGAAACAUGGAAUCCGAAAUCGAAGGCAAAGCCAUACGUGGAAUCAGCUGAAGACUUGAUCAAGUUUGCUAAAGAAACCAUGGACGACUUCUUUGCCAUUCGAAUGGAAACUACUGAGGAUUUGGUGAAUGAUCUGGUGAACAGUUUAGGGAGUCUCUUUCAGGAUUAUGCUGCAUUUGUUGCAUCCUGUGGGUCAAAGCAAAAUUACAUACCUGCUCUCCCUCCUUUGAUGAGAUGUCAUCGAGAUUCCAAGUUUGCCAAAUUUUGUAGAAAGGUGACACCAUGUAAGGUUGGCAUAGAAGACCCAGCGAGGAUGCCGGAUGAGCGAAGCUGACCACCCUCAUCCGUCAAUGAGCGGGGGGACGCGACGCCUUUACAUCCGCCUCAACACUUUGCACUAUCUCCUUGCACAUCUCCAAUCCUUGGAUGAGAUGUCACUCUCUGGUGUUGGUUCCCUUGAUCACAAAUAUUUCGGCAACAAGAAGCACCAUAAGGACUGCGCUUCCUACUUUCAGAACACCUGUUCGGCCAUACGUGAAGCCUGCCAACAUGUUUCAGAAGUUGCUGCCCAUCGCUUGAUCUUCGUCGACUCUAACCAUGUCUUCUACAAUAGCCUCUACGUUGGUGAAGUCGCUAGUGCACGUAUAAGGCCUACUUUGCGGACAUUGAAGCAGAAUUUGACUCUGCUUUGUGCAAUUCUCAUCGAUCAAGCACACCCGCUAGCGAUAAAAGAAGUCAUGAAGGCCUCUUUCGAUGCCUACCUUAUCGUUUUGGUUGCGGGAGGGGACUCCAGGAUUUUCUCCAGGUCGGAUCACCGAAUGAUCAAGGAGGACUUUGAGUGCUUGAAGCGAGCAUUUUGUGUAUCUGGGGAAGGAUUGAUGAGCGAGGACGCAGUGGAGAAGGAGGCUGAGAGGGUGGAAACGGUGAUCGCUUUGAUGAGUCAACCAACGGACAAGCUAAUCCAAGACAUUAGUGCUAUGAUCCGUAAAAUUGAAGAGAACGGAGCCGAGGAUAGGAGGAACAAUCAAUCUGUGCCUCCGACAACAGAACGAUGGAAUACAUCAGAUCCAAACACGAUACUGCAUGUCUUGUGCCACAGGAACGAUCAAGUAGCAAAUCGGUUCUUGAAAAGGAAAUUCCAAAUAGAAAGAUAUUACCGAUCUUAUGCUAGUGAUUGCGGAACAGUCAAUUAGUGGUGCAUCAUCAUUUGGGAUAUCUGAGAGAAAAUCAUGUCUUGUUGUUGGUGAUUGCACUGGGAGGACUUUUCCCAUUGAGGUGUUGAGAUGCAUGUGAGUUGUGUUAAAAAGUCCUAUGUCGGAGAAUUGGAGGGGGAUCUUAUUGCUUACAUUGACGGGCUUGAAUUUUGGCUCCUUCUUAAUGAUCUCCCAACCGAAUGCGUCGAGCUUCUUCUGCGUCAACCCAACAAAUGGUAUGACUGGUCAGUCUACAACUGUUAUGCUGUUUGGUGAAUAUCUUAUGGAAGGAAUCUCGCGACCAACUCGGUCCCAAUGGCAACCUUCACUGUGCGGUCUGGCAAAAGAAUUCAGGGGAUGAAGGUGGGCAUUGUUUGUUGUGGUCUUCACACGCAACAAAGUGGAGAUUCAAUUCAAGGCAUCUUGAUGCGGUGAAGAGUCUAACAUCUUGAAGAUGUGCAGCUUCUGCUGAAUCAACCCUACACAAGGAUGUGAUUGUCUUUGCAGCUGAGCUUGGUAUUUUAGUCUCCAUCAUAUGCAAUUUUCGUUUGUUGGUUUAUCAUAUAGUCGAGUGAAGAUGGGUCAAUCAUUUUUCGUUAAUUGACAUAUACAACGAUUGAAUAAUUUUUACAAUGAGU